GUCUUGUUGUGGGACAGAAAUCUAGUUGUGGGACAGUGGUCUAGUUGUGGGACAGAAAUCUAGUUCUGGGACAGAGAUGUAGUUGUGCGACAGAGAUCUAGAUGUGGGAUAGUGGUCUAGUUGUGUGGGACAGUGGUCUAGUUGUGGGACAGUGGUCUAGUUGUGGGACAGUGGUCUAGUUGUGGGACAGUGGUCUAGUUGUGGGACAGUGGUCUAGUUUUGGGACAGACAUCUAGUUGUGGGACAGAAAUCUAGUUAUGGGACAGUGGUCUAGUUGUGGGACAGAGAUCCAGUUUUGGGACAGAGAUCUAGUUAUGGAACAGUGGUCUAGUUUUGGAACAGAAAUCUAGUUGUGGGACAGAAAUCUAGUUGUGGGACAGUGGUCUAGUUGUGGGACAGAAAUCUAGUUGUGGGACAGAGAUGUAGUUGUACAACAGAGAUCUAGUUGUGGGAGAUUGGUCUUGUUGUGGGACAGUGGUUUAGUUGUGGGACAGAAAUCUAGUUGUGGGACAGUGGUCUAGUUGGGGGACAGAGAUCUGUGGAUGGAUGGUGUACUUGUGGGACAGAGAUCUAGUUGUGGGACAGAAAUCUAGUUGUGGGAUAGAGAUCUAGUUGUAGGACAGAGAUCUAGUUGUGGGACAGUUGUCUUGUGGUAGGAUGCUGGUCUAGGAAUUGGAAGGUUCCUGGUUUGAAAUCCACUCACACCACAAAAUGUGUAUGAGCAAAAAAUGAAUCACCUGCUUGUUCUGCUCCACCCAGGAGUAUAGAUGGGUCAUUGUGAGGGAAAUAAGGCAAUGUGUUGUGGCAGCAUGCUUCGCCAAGUGUAAACUGACACUUAUGUCUCAGUAGUUGGGAGUUAAAUGUGAAAGUCGGCUGAAGAUUUCACCUAGAAUCACUUAUCAGACUAUAAAGCCAUACCUUUACCUUUAACUUUUUGUUAGAACAGAAAUACAUUCAUGGGAUAUGCCAGUACUGAUCAAAACUUAGUA